rnacentral:rRNA from 1 species
AUGAUCUCCGCUCGGUCGAUUCACCAACUUCUCGUUCUGAACGCGCCAAACUGGGUCUUGGAAGAGAUUGACAAAUGCAUGAGGGCAUUUUUCUGGGCCGGCAAGGAGAAGGCUAAUGGAGGGCAGUGCUUGGUUGCUUGGGACAUGAUUUGCCGGCCGACAUGCUAUGGAGGCCUUGGCGUAAAGAAUCUGCACCGGCAGGACCUCGCGCUCCGAGUCAGGUGGGAGUGGCUCCGAAGGACGGAUGCAACCAGGCCCUGGCAAGGUAUAUCAAUGGCCAAUGACAAGGAUGAUGCGAUGGUCUUUGACAGCCUGAUCAAGAUCGUGGUGGGAUGCGGAGCACGAGUUUUAUUCUGAAAGGACAGGUUAGGUGCACGACUUCAAGGUGGGCGAGAUUGCGCCACUCCUGGCGGCCCUCGUGAGUACCAGGGCAAAGAACACAAGGACGGUCCAGCAGGCCUUUGA